UUUUUCAUAAUUCUUCUUUUCGAGAGGCUUCUUCCGUUGCGAAGGGAGAACGAAGGAGGUCCUGAAGGCUUCAGAAAGGCCUUCCCGAAGUCUCCCUCUUGAGCUCUUGAGUUCUGGAAGCAGCAGCUGCGGCGGUGCGGUGGUGCGGCGGUUUGGCCUUCUCAACUUGUUCAUCUUAGCGGCGGUGCCUUCCUUCACCGAUCUCUCUCUUCCUCUCUGAUUCUUCUUCUUCUUCGUCUUCUUCUUGCCCCCUCUCCCUGUUUUCGUUUCUUCUCAACCACCGCCGCUGCAACUCUCGGCAGCGGCGGUUUGGCCUUCCCAUCUUCCACUUCUCUGAUUCCCUCUCUCUGUCUUUUUCUCCCGACUCUCAUUUUAUUCCUCUCCCUUCUCAACGAAGCAGAGCCAGCGGACUCUCCCUGUUGCAGUGUUGACAGAGUUCGGAGCCAAAAUCUCAACCGAGAGCCGAGGAGGAAGUUUAGGGCUUAUUUUUGGGUUGAACAGUCAACCGUGCAAGAACCUUACUAUUCUGUGUCCCUAGACUUUCCAAGAUGUACAAGUACUCCUAUUUAGGUUGAAGUUGAUGAGGAUCCGACUGAAGCCAAAAAUGAUGGAGGAGAUGGAAAAGCUGAGAAAAAGAAGAAAACUAAGAUCGUAGUUGAGAGGUACUAGGACUGGGGGCUGACAUGGCUACGCCACCCUAAGGAAGUCACUACAGAGGAAUACAACGAGUUCUACAAGAAGACCUUCAAUGAGUACUUGGACCCUCUAGCUUCCUCACACUUCACUACAGAGUUUCCAAGGUAUUUGAGUUUCGUGAAAGGUGUUGUGGACUCAAAUGACCAUCCACUCAAUGUUUCUCGUGAGAUUCUUCAAGAAAGUCAAAUAGUAAGGAUUAUGAGGAAGCGAUUGGUUCGGAAGGCCUUUGACAUGAUCUUGGGCAUAUCUAUGAAUGAGAAUAGAGAGGUAUGCCACUGUUUUUCUUCUAUUUCUUUUAGCCUUUUUGGAUUUUGUUGCGAUGAGCAAGGGUUCAACUGAAAGCAUUUGUUCAAUUCAUGGAGGAAUCAAUCAUUUUUUUUACUAUUUUACAAAAGGACUAUAAAAGGUUCUGGGAGAGCUUUGCAGGAAACCAUUUUAUUUGCACGAGGGCUAUGUACAUCCUUAUCCUUAUUUUUGAAAUAUCCAAACUCCUGGAACUGGAAGAAAAAUAAAGUUGUUGAUUGUUUGCUCAGUUAUUUGUUUAUUGUGUCACACUAGGACUAUGAGAAGUUCUGGGAGAACUUUGGCAAGAACUUAAAGUUCUUGUUUUUUUAGAGAUGGCAAAACCCAGCCACACUAGGGCGGGGCUGCGUUUUGCCGCCCCAUAUUCAACCCUGAAUUCAAAGUCCCCACCCUGAACCUCAGCGGGGUUAAAAAUCUUAACCCCAUCCUCAUCUCGGAGAAUGGGGAUCCUUGACUUUGCCUCACCCCGCCCUAAUCAUUCUUACUUGUAUACUUAUUAAUUUAUUUUUUUAUAUUUUUUGAUAACUAUCGAAAACUAUUUUAUUUUAUGUAAUAUAAUAUAGUAUUAUAUAUAUAUAUUAUGUUAUAUAAUAUAGUCAAGGUGAGGUUAGGAUGGAUUGGACAAAUACCACCCCCGACCCUAGAGUUUUGGGUUUUCCCCAAACCCUUGGUGGUCAAAAAAUGCACCCCAGUCGGGGUGGGGCACCACGGGGAUGAAUCGAAUUGCCAUCUCUUAAAAAACAAGAACAAAGUUGUUCCAAGGGACAACCAAUGCUGUGAGCCAAUUUAUAUGGGCAUUUGAUUUAAGUAUUUGGAAUAUUAAAUGACAUCUACUAUAUAUAUUGUCUCCAUACAUUAGACAGGAUUUCAUUUAUUCUUAAUUACUCCUUAAUACUAACCGAUGUAUGUAGGAUGUUAAGCAUGUUGAAAAUAUGUUGACCUUAAAAAAUUAUUAACUUCCAUCAACUAUAUAUCAAUUUUAUACUUUUUGUAACUGUCAUAGGACUAUGAGGAAUUUCCCUCCAAUAGGAGGAAAUUGUAUCAAUCGACUUAAUUGAAGUAUUGAAAACCUCAAACUUAACUGAUAUCAUCCAUUCUUUUCUAACUUGUCACAUGGACUGAAUAAAAAAGGGAUCUCCCUCUUAAAUUAAGUUUGAAUUAGAUAGGGGCUUUAUUAUUAUUGAUGUUUCUUUCUAAUUGCAUAGGAUGUAGCUCUGUUCUUGCAAAAUUUGACAAGUGUUCCCGUAAGGAUAA